UCCCUGGCAGUCUAGUUGUUAGGACUCCACAUUUUCACUGCUAAGGGCCUAGGUUUGAUUCCUGGCCAGGGAA
rnacentral:tRNA from 1 species